AUAUUGCACAAUGGGCGCAAGCCUGAUGCAGCCAUGCCGCGUGUAUGAAGAAGGCCUUCGGGUUGUAAAGUACUUUCUGCGGGGAGGAAGGCGAUCAGGUUAAUAACCUUGUCGAUUGACGUUACCCGCAGAAGAAGCACCGGCUAACUCCGUGCCAGCAGCCGCGGUAAUACGGAGGGUGCAAGCGUUAAUCGGAAUUACUGGGCGUCAAGCGCACGCAGGCGGUCUGUGAAGUCGGAUGUGAAAUCCGCGGGCUCAACCUGGGAACUGCAUUCGAAGCUGGCAGGCUAGAGUCUUGUAGAGGGGGGUAGAAUUCCAGGUGUAGCGGUGAAAUGCGUAGAGAUCUGGAGGAAUACCGGUGGCGAAGGCGGCCCCCUGAACAAAGACUGACGCUCAGGUGCGAAAGCGUGGGGAGCAAAC
rnacentral:rRNA from 1 species